AGGGCAGUUCAUCACAUCCUGAAAUAUGUAAAAUGCAUUGUCAUCUUGAAGUGGAUUUUUAUUUCCACCAACUAAAACAGAUAAAAUAGCACAAGACCUUUGCUCCAGGUUGCUAACAUGCUGCUCUUUGACAUCUAUGAAUGAAACGCUUGGCAACCCUUUGAAAUACAUUUGUGCUAUUCUUUGCAUCAACAGCAAGGUUCCUCUGAGUCAUAAAGUCUACAGCUUUGCUCUUCAAGAAAAAGUGGGCCAAGGAGUAAUUAUGACAAGGCACCAGGAUGCUGAGAUUCUUGAUAUCAGGGAUUUGCAUCCAGACCACUUUGCACAAUAUUGCCUAGCUGUCUCUUAGAUCUUUACUGAUCAGAUCUGCCAAAAGGCCAAUUCUCCAAAUUCACCUUGCACAUAAGGCAAAGUCUGGGAUAAGGUGGGAAAGAAGAUGGAAAGGUGGUUGGGAGCCCCUCCUGGGGGCUCUGAUUUCUGGGAAGGCUGU